CUUCAUCCACCUCCGCCAUGCUCCCUCCUUCCCCCUCCAUCCCCCUCCAUCCCCGAAUCUGAUUCAGAUCUUGUUUCUGGCCAGGCACCGGCCUCUUGGGCCGUUGGCAAGGGGAGUGUGUCAGACUUGCAACGGGUGGUGGUUCCAGACUCCUUCGUGGUGGAUGGUGUCCUCUCCAUCCCUAAGUCGAACAUUGAAAAAGGCUUGUAGAAAAUGCAUUCGGCGUUGGUUGCCCAGUUUCUUGGAAAGACGCCUCCGAUUAGAGUUAUUUCAUCAAUGGUUAACAGGCUUUGGAUAAUGAAGGUGAAGUUGUUAUUUCUCAAAUAUCCACUUGAUUUUUCCUUACUUAAAUUCCUUCGAUUAAUCUGUGUGUAUGGGUGAUGCGUCAUGUUUGGAAUAUACACCAUUGUCCUAUUAUCUUGAGAAAAUGGUUUGUGGGAACUGCCCCAUUGGAAUUAGAGUCGAAGGACAUCCCAACCUGGAUUACGUUGUGUAAUGUCCCACCACAGUUAAUUACUAAAGAAGCAAUGGGGUGGAUGGUAAGUAGAUUUGGUUCUUAUAUAAAUCAAUUUGUGCGGGAAGUACUUGUAGUGAAGGUGUGUCUACUAAUGGAGAAAUGGCAUUAGUGUCCUACAGUUAUUGAGCUGGAUGUUGAUGGAAUUCGAGCCACCCUUUCUAUUGAACUCCCUAAGGAGCGAAGGUAUGUGAAGAAGAGUGAUGAACCAACAAAUAUGUGGAAGCCAAAAACCCAAUCGAUCGUUAUAGUGACAGUUGGAUCCUCUCAGGGCAAUGAAGCUCAACCUUCUUUGCAAGGGGAGGCUUCACCUAAGAGUUCUAAUGUGUCACAAGUUGGAGGGGAGGUGACUCCUGCCAUUGAGACUUCUUCUAAAGUGGAGAUGGUAGAGACUGCCCAAUAGAUUUUUGUUGUUGAAACCGCAUUGUAGGUAGAGACGCAGAGUUUGUUCCCUAACGUUAGAAAGGAUGCUGGAAUGAAAUUAGUUAACCAGAUUGUGGCCUUGGUUGAAUCAACUCUUCAAGAGGAUGACAGUGACUCUAUAGAAGAAGUGGAGGAAGAGAUUGAAAUGGAGAAACCAAGUGAGCCUUCUAUCCAUACUCCGGGUAGAGCCACGUUGGGGGAUUUUAUUGUGAAGGGUAGUAUACCUCGUCCUAAAGCUAAGAGGGGAGGGAAACGAGGUAAGAAGUAAGGAUGGAGAUUCUAGCAUGGAACCAACAGGGAUUUAAUUCUUCGAAUAAGCAUAAGUAUUAGUAUGUACCUAAAUAAACUUAAUAUAGAUAUAAUAGGUAUUUUGAAGACUCGGGUAGCUUGUAGCAAGGCUAGUAGAAUACUUAUUGAAAUUCUUUUACAAACUAUGUCUAUAGUUCGUUUGGGAUGAUUUGGAUCUUGUGGAGAAACAUAGUUGGAGUCACUGUCAUUAGACACUUUGAGCAAUAUGUCCUUCUGAAAGUUGGUGGUUCUAGUUCAUUUUACAUAUGUUUCGUUUAUGGAGCAAAUAAGGUGAGCGAGAGGAAAAGAAUGUAUGAUCAAACGACGAGGCGUCUGGUUCUGGAUCUCCCGGUAGUAAAUUUGGGUGACUUUAAUGCCAUUACUACUCCUGCUGAGCCUUCUAACUCAGUGGGGGUCUCAAAAGGUAUGAAUGAUUUUAAUGCCUAGAUCAAUGGUAAUGAGUUGGAUGAUCAUGUGGUGGCUCGUCUUUAUUUCACAUGGCACAAUAAUCUCGAUGAUCCAAUAGCUAGAAGGCUUGAUAGAUGUUUUGUCAAUUCCCAUUGAUACGAUCAGUUUGCUAGGGGUAGAGCUGAGCUCCUCGAAUCAGGGGUAUCAGAUCAUAAUGGGAUUUUUCUUGAUAGGGAAGUUAACAUUGGUACGCUUCCUAAACCAUUUAAGUUUUUUUUAACUAUUGGGUGGAUUGGGAUGGCUAUGAUGAUAUUGUGGUGGAGGCUUGGAAUAGGCAGGAUGCUCUUUUCCAUAAAAAAGAAUUUGAGCAGGAGUAUGCCAGAAUGAUAAAUGUUAUAAACUCAUUGAGACAGUUUAGUUCUAUGAGAUUCUCAUAUCUUAGUAGCAGAGUUAAGGCUGCAGAAUGAUAAAUUAAUGAUGAUCAGGUUAUUGCCCUCAACAGUCCUUCUUCUGAGCCCCUUUUGAAAGCAAAAGCUAGUCAUGAAGACUGGCAAAAAUUAAAAGCAGCGGAGGAGAGUUUCUAUUGAAAGAGAGCUAAAGAGAAUUGGCUUUGUUUAGGUGAUUCAAAUACUUUUUUUUCACAAGGCAAUUCAGUUAAAGUAGGCAAGAAAUUAAAUUGUGUAUCUUGAAAAUACUAAUGGAGUCUUGGUGACUGAUUUGACAUUCAUUUCUAAUAUUGCUGUGAAUUACUACACUGAAAUUUUCGGAGUGGUUGAUCCUAAUGUGUUUUGCCCUAGUAUUGACACAAUGAGUAAUCUGCUUUUAAAAAGCUCUCUGAUUCAUUUCAUCUCAAGUUAUGACAAGAGCCCUGGCGCUGAUGGUUUUUCAUUGUGUUUUUUCAAACAUAGCUGAGACCUGAUGAAGAAUGAUAGUUUGGUUGUUGUGUCUCUUUUCUUUGCUACUGGAAAACUCCAUAGAGUGGUUAAUUUCACUACCUUAGUCUUGCUUCCGAAGAAGAUCAAUGCUACAAACAACACAAAUUAUAGACUUAUAGCGUGCUGUAAUGUAAUGUAUAUGAUAAUUACAAUGUUGCUGGCUAAGCGUAUGGUUGAGUAUUUGUCGGAAGUGAUCAAUAAUUCUCAAUUAGAUUUCGUCAAAGGGAGACUAAUUGGGGAUAACAUCUUGCUUGCUCACGAUCUGGUAAAUUCCUAUCACUUAAAGAAUAUUUCUCCUCGUUGUGCCCUUAAGGUUGAUUUACGGAAAGCCUUCGAUUCUGUGCAUCUCUAGUAUCUUUUUGCAUGCUAUGAACUCCCCAGCUAAGUUCAUUAGGUGGAUUCAAGGGUGUUUGGAUACUGUAAUGUAUAGUGUGGGUUUGAAUGGUGGAGUUGUGGGGUACUUCAAUGGAUAAAAGGGCUGAGACAGGGAGAUCCGUUAUCUCAUGCCCUCUUUGUGAUUGCAAUGGAGCUUCUCUAUUGCAUAUGUUGAGAGCAGCUCGGUGCGGAACUAUUUCAUAUCAUCCUAAAUGUAAAAAGUUGGAAAUACUCAGCUCCGCUUUGCUGAUGAUAUCUUGAUUUUCACUAAUGGGACAGAGAAGGGAGUGGUUGGUAUUUUUAAUGUUCUUAGGGAAUUCUAUGGCCUACAGCUUAACCUUGAUAAAACAUUGGUUUUCUUCUCAUCAACUAUUCUGACAGUGACAAGAAAAGCAGUCUUAGAUGCCACGGGAUUCCAGGAGGGGCAGUUGCCAGUUCGUUACCUGGGAGUUUCGUUGAUCUUAGGUAAAUUAUCUACAAAAGACUGUGACUGUUUGACAGAAAAAAUCACUGCAAGGGUGAAGGGUUGGCAGGUUAAAACAUUAAGCUAUGUUGUUCAUCUCCAGUUGAUUAGUUCUAUUCUUAACUCAAUGAGUCAAUACUGGAUGUCUGUGUUUCUGCUACCUAUGAGUGUUAUUCGAGCGGUCGAAAAGAUUUGUAAUGACUUUCUUUGGGAUUUUGGAGAAGGAGGAAGGAAAAAGGCUAAGCUAGCUUGGAAACAUAUUGCAAUGCCAAAGCUUGAAGGGGAGUUUUGGGGUAAGGGAUCUUGUUUGUUGGAACUAUGCAUGUAUUGUUAGACACAUCUAAAGUUUAUUAAUGAAUGUUGGAUCAUUAUGGAUUGCUUGGGUGAGAGUGCAUAGAUUAAAGAGAAGUUCUAUCUUGAAGUUCAAAAUAGCUACUUAUCAAUCUUGGGUAUGGAGGUGAAUUCUGAAAGUUAGAGGUAAGGCAAUUUCCUUUAUCUUCUUUGAUCAAGAUGGUUGCCCACUUUGGCAUGGAACUACAAUGUCUGAGUAUUCAGUCACUAGAGUUUGGGAUACCUCCUAUUAUUCACAAGCACAGUUUCAUCAAUUGGUUAGCAAUCAAUGAUAGACUCACCACUAGAUCGAAGAUGGCGAACUGGGUGUGAAAUUGGACAUUUCUUGUUUGUUGUGUGAUGAAGGGAUGGAUGACAUCAAUCAUAUCUUUAUAAUUGUCAAUACAUCUGCCAGAUUAGGAAGUUCUGUUUUGGGGAUGAUCUGGCUACUGCUAGCUGGGAGGGAGAUGUAAAUGAAGUGAUUAAUCGUUGCUCAGGGGGUUCUGCUGAUAUGUGUUUUUAUAUAUUGAUCUAGAGAGCAAUGAUAGUCGGGGUGUGGUAUGAGCGUUGUAAAAGGAAUGCUCAUGAGAAGGCCUCCUCUUUCCUUAUUUGAGCUCAUAACAUUUGUACGGAAACUCAUUAUGUAACUAGUAGAAGAUAGAAGCUCUAUAGUUGUUUUGUUUUUCUGAGUUUACAGAUUCUGUCUUGGGACCUUAUGGAGCGGAUUUGUCGAUUUGGCAUAUUCGAUUUUGGAUGAAUAAAAAGUGC
rnacentral:lncRNA from 1 species